GCGUCGUAAGCACACCUCUAAAAGUAUAAGUAUGCAACUAUGAUACCUCAUACACGUCAGGUCAAAGUGCAGCUCAUGAAAAGGUGAUGAUGGGUUACACCCUUAACAAAGAUACGGAAUAUGUUACCAAAAAAAUAUAUAAAGGAGGACUUGGACGUAAUAGUGACACAAUUUCACAAUGAAGCCGAAUCUAAGACAUGCACACAUCGCCCGUCACUCUCGCCUAAAGGCGAGAUAAGUCGUAACAAAGUAGGUGUAACGGAAGUUGCACCUGU
rnacentral:rRNA from 1 species